CACAUACUUGUAGAACUGUGAUAGUCAUUGAAAACUCUUCACAAAAUAUUUUUAUUCUCAUUCCAGCUCUUGAUUCCAUUUGGAGAUGGCAGCUUGAUGUUACAGUCAACUGAGGCCUUCCUAGUAUAAGUUCCAAAAGUAUGGUCCACCUGGCAUCUAAACAAAUAAAGACACUGAAACUGAAGCCUGGGCCCUUGGCCACCGCGCUCCAUUCCUUCACACGCAUCCCUACUCCUUACCCAUAA
rnacentral:lncRNA from 1 species